rnacentral:ncRNA from 2 species
AUUGGCACACUAUUCGAAAGGAUAGGUCGCAAAGCUUAAGAGUCUAAGGUAAUACAUAUUACUAUGAUAGUCUGGUUGCAGUU